UACAGAGGUCUCAAGCGUUGUUCGGAUUCAUUGGGCGUAAAGAGCGCGCAGGCGGUCGUAUAAGUCGAAUGUGAAAGCCCCUGGCUCAACUAGGGAGAGUCAUUCGAUACUGUUCGACUCGAAGGCAGGAGAGGGAAGUGGAAUUCCCAGUGUAGCGGUGAAAUGCGUAGAUACUGGGAGGAACACCGGUGGCGAAGGCGGCUACCUGGACAGGUACUGACGCUGAGGCGCGAAAGCUAGGGGAGCAAACAGG
rnacentral:rRNA from 1 species